AGAAGAGAAAGCUACUCUGUGCUUAUAACACAGGGUUGUGUUUGUCCCUUCUUCUCUUCCAGCUGAACGGUCACCAGGUCACGGAAUUCCACCGGGAAUGGGAAGAGCCUCUGGAGCAGCACGCGAAGUCCUGCUAUCUGCAUUCUGUGGUUGGAGUGAGUUGGCACCAUCGUGGCUCACUGGUUUCAUACUCCUUGACUCGGUAUUCAGCUCCAAUUUUCGUUCUCUUUAACUGAAAGAACUGCAUGGUUCACACAGACCUGGAAAUACAACCAUUAGAAUUAAAUUACCACGCAAGAGUGCCCUGAUGAGCUUCACAAAGACGUAGAACCCAUGUGCUUUUGGAGUUGUUUUAGCACCCCGUUUGGAGCCAAACAGUCUCACAACUCCCAUGAUGACAUCAGCUUUUUUUACACCUCUUAAAGUAACAACAUGAGUUUUGUCUUCCAAAGGGUAAUUUUGAUUUCUUACAAAGGUAAGAAAGAAAAAUCUGGAAAAUGAUUAAAAUAAAAAGGCAGGCACACAAGGGGUAAAUACCUUCAAGAAAGCAGUGUCAUUGCAUAAAAUGAUGUAGAUGAGACAAUGAAAGAACCAAAUUGUCACAGCAAAUUCUUUACAAAUUAAUGCCAUGAUUCCUCAGUACUGUAGGCAUUAUAGUUCUGGAGAGGUUACAGAAACAUCUUCCAUUUUGAUAACAUGGAAUCAUUAUAUUUUUAUGACUAUAUAGCUGACAGUAAAAGGAGCAAUGAUAAUGAUUCUCAAAAAUGUAG
rnacentral:lncRNA from 10 species